GCUCUUUUGGGUCUUGUAAUCGGAAUGAGUACAAUUUAAAUCCCUUAACGAGGAACAAUUGGAGGGCAAGUCUGGUGCCAGCAGCCGCGGUAAUUCCAGCUCCAAUAGCGUAUAUUAAAGUUGUUGUGGUUAAAAAGCUCGUAGUUGAACCUUGGGCCUGGCUGGCCGGUCCGCCUCACCGCGUGCACUGGUCCGGCCGGGCCUUUCCCUCUGCGGAACCCCAUGCCCUUCACUGGGUGUGGCGGGGAAACAGGACUUUUACUUUGAAAAAAUUAGAGUGCUCAAGGCAGGCCUAUGCUCGAAUACAUUAGCAUGGAAUAAUAGAAUAGGACGUGUGGUUCUAUUUUGUUGGUUUCUAGGACCGCCGUAAUGAUUAAUAGGGACAGUCGGGGGCAUCGGUAUUCAAUUGUCAGAGGUGAAAUUCUUGGAUUUAUUGAAGACUAACUACUGCGAAAGCAUUUGCCAAGGAUGUUUUCAUUAAUCAGGAACGAAAGUUAGGGGAUCGAAGACGAUCAGAUACCGUCGUAGUCUUAACCAUAAACUAUGCCGACUAGGGAUCGGACGAUGUUACAUUUUUGACGCGUUCGGCACCUUACGAGAAAUCAAAGUGCUUGGGCUCCAGGGGGAGUAUGGUCGCAUGGCUGAAACUUAAAGAAAUUGACGGAAGGACACCACCAGGGGUGGAGCCUGCGGCUUAAUUUGACCCAACACGGGGAAACUCACCAGGUCCAGACACAAUGAGGAUUGACAGAUUGAGAGCUCUUUCUUGAUUUUGUGGGUGGUGGUGCAUGGCCGUUCUUAGUUGGUGGAGUGAUUUGUCUGCUUAAUUGCGAUAACGAACGAGACCUUAACCUGCUAAAUAGCCCGUAUUGCUUUGGCAGUACGCCGGCUUCUUAGAGGGACUAUCGGCUCAAGCCGAUGGAAGUUUGAGGCAAUAACAGGUCUGUGAUGCCCUUAGAUGUUCUGGGCCGCACGCGCGCUACACCGACGGAGCCAGCGAGUACUCCCUUGGCCGGAAGGCCUGGGUAAUCUUGUUAAACUCCGUCGUGCUGGGGAUAGAGCAUUGCAAUUAUUGCUCUUCAACGAGGAAUCCCUAGUAAGCGCAAGUCAUCAGCUUGCGUUGAUUACGUCCCUGCCCUUUGUACACACCGCCCGUCGCUACUACCGAUUGAAUGGCUCAGUGAGGCGUCCGGACUGGCCCAGAGAGGUGGGCAACUACCACUCAGGGCCGGAAAGCUCACCAAACUCGGUCAUUUAGAGGAAGUAAAAGUCGUAACAAGGUCUCCGUUGGUGAACCAGCGGAGG
rnacentral:rRNA from 1 species